rnacentral:rRNA from 1 species
UUGAAAGGGAAACGAUUGAAGUCAGUCGUACCAGCGGGAAAUCAACCUUUCGAGUGGGGGUUUUGGAGUUUUUUGAAGAGUGUCAAAACCUUUGAGAUUUCAAAAUAUUCGCUCUUUUGGUGUACUUUCUCGUGGGUAGGUUAACAUCGAUUUUGAUCAUCAUAAAAAGAUUGGAGGAAUGUAGCUUCGAUCUUGUAUUGAAGUGUUAUAGCCUUUGGUAAAUGUGAUGAUUAGGAUCGAGGAUUGCAACGAAUACCCUUUUGGGCUAUCCGCCUGAUCUCUGAUACGUGGCCUUGGUAUCGAAAGCGUGCUUAUGGUAUUGAGGUAUUACGGUCAAAAGGUUAGAACGGAUUACAUUCGUUAAGGAUGUUGACGUA